AGAGUCUGGAUUAAGAGCUUGCUCUUAUGAAGUUAGCGGCGGACGGGUGAGUAACACGUGGGUAACCUGCCCAUAAGACUGGGAUAACUCCGGGAAACCGGGGCUAAUACCGGAUAACAUUUUGAACCGCAUGGUUCGAAAUUGAAAGGCGGCUUCGGCUGUCACUUAUGGAUGGACCCGCGUCGCAUUAGCUAGUUGGUGAGGUAACGGCUCACCAAGGCAACGAUGCGUAGCCGACCUGAGAGGGUGAUCGGCCACACUGGGACUGAGACACGGCCCAGACUCCUACGGGAGGCAGCAGUAGGGAAUCUUCCGCAAUGGACGAAAGUCUGACGGAGCAACGCCGCGUGAGUGAUGAAGGCUUUCGGGUCGUAAAACUCUGUUGUUAGGGAAGAACAAGUGCUAGUUGAAUAAGCUGGCACCUUGACGGUACCUAACCAGAAAGCCACGGCUAACUACGUGCCAGCAGCCGCGGUAAUACGUAGGUGGCAAGCGUUAUCCGGAAUUAUUGGGCGUAAAGCGCGCGCAGGUGGUUUCUUAAGUCUGAUGUGAAAGCCCACGGCUCAACCGUGGAGGGUCAUUGGAAACUGGGAGACUUGAGUGCAGAAGAGGAAAGUGGAAUUCCAUGUGUAGCGGUGAAAUGCGUAGAGAUAUGGAGGAACACCAGUGGCGAAGGCGACUUUCUGGUCUGUAACUGACACUGAGGCGCGAAAGCGUGGGGAGCAAACAGGAUUAGAUACCCUGGUAGUCCACGCCGUAAACGAUGAGUGCUAAGUGUUAGAGGGUUUCCGCCCUUUAGUGCUGAAGUUAACGCAUUAAGCACUCCGCCUGGGGGAGUACGGCCGCAAGGCUGAAACUCAAAGGAAUUGACGGGGGCCCGCACAAGCGGUGGGAGCAUGUGGUUAAUUCGAAGCAACGCGGAAGAACCUUACCAGUCUGGACAUCCUCUGAAACCCUAGAGAUAGGCUUCUCCUUCGGGAGCAAGAGUGACAGGUGGUGCAUGGUUGUCGUCAGCUCGUGUCGUGAAGAAUGUUGGGGUAGUCCGCAACGAGCCACCCUUGAUUCUUAGUGCCAUCAUUAGUUAGUCACUCUUAAGGGACUGCCGUGACUACCCGCAGGAGUGGGAGUACGUCAAUCAUCAUGCCUUAUGACUGCUACACGGUCUCAAUUGGACGUGACAAAGAGAG
rnacentral:rRNA from 2 species